GACAAGUGAAUGAAUCAAAACAUUUCUAUUCCCUCUCUUUUUAAAUAUCGUUAAUAUUAUAAAUUGUUUAUCUAAUCCUUGGCUUAAAUCAUAUUUUACAUUCUUUGAAUGCUAAAUGAUUCUUAUGAUAGAAUAUAAUUGGAUAUUUUAAUAAAAAAUCUAAACAUCAUAAAAUAUUAUUCUUGUAAAAAUAUUAUUAAUCUUAUAAUUAAUUCUAGUAAUCGAUAAAUUAUCGUGAAUUCCUAUAAAAACGUAUCCAUGUCAACAGUAGCAAAAAUGACAAUCUAUUGAAUUAACAUGAACGUCUACAAAGCAAAUAAAACUGUGGAUGAAUGAAACUUUGUAUGUGAUUUAUAAGUUAGAAACUCUUUCAAAGCAAGAUUUACCACGCUUAAAAGGUUACAUGAAAGAUGUUACUCAUGAAUAAGAUCAUUUUAUAAUGUACUUUUUACUUAAACAAUAUUUCAACUACUUAUUUUUACUAUUUACUGGGAAAAUUGGGCAAAAGCGAACCAGAGAUAGCGAACGAGCUAAACGAACUAUCAGAGCUAAAUAAUCGUCCUCACGUUUUCCUUGAGAUUCUAUCUCUCAGAAAGCGCUUCCCAUUGCGCAACCAGGCUUCAUUUCCUGGUUCCAUCGCAAGAAGAUGCUACGAAGGAAAAAAAUUCGCCUGACAAUAACGCAUGUUACGCGAUCGUACGUGUUAGUCGAGCAACUCGCUUUACUAACAAUUACGAGACCUGACGGAGCAUAUGCUUAGCGGUUAUGUGCCCAUCCAAUUAAAACUUCCUUCGAUCGGUUCGUCUUGGCUCUCGUAUUGCUUUCCUGAUUCGUCUUUCUCAAAGUUUCUCGAUACGAAAUCCUGACUAAGAAUUGGACUUUGCGUGACAUUGAUCGCCGAUUUCGUAACAUUAAACAAGAUACAGAUCAUAGAUCAAAUUCUGAUAAUUCAUCAAAGAUUCACGAUUUUUAUUUAUUUUACACAGUAUUGAGUGUAGA